rnacentral:lncRNA from 1 species
AUUUUUUGUUUCCUUGUCAACGCUAUAUCCACUUUUUCAAUAGUGUAAUAUUGUAAUAUUUUAUCUUGUAAUUUUUCAUUAAUAAAUACUGUUUAAACUAAUAGUGUUUGAAAAAGAUAUAUACUUCAUUAAACAAAAUUAAACCCACAAAAAUGCAAACAUCAGUCAAAAAUACAAACACCAGUGAAAAGCCAAACAUCAAAAAACACCCACGAAAGGCAAACACCAGUAAGAAAAAUGAAAACCCACGAAAAGAUACACACCAGUAAAAAAUAGAAUAAAAAACUACGAUAAGGCAAAUAUCAGUAAAAUAAAUAAAACCCACAAAAAGGCAAGCAUCAGUAAAAAAAAUAAUCACCUACGAAAAGGCAAACGUCAGUAAUUUUUUUGUUUUAAAUACUCGAAAAGGCAAACAUCAGUAAAAAUUGAAAACCCACGAAAAGACAAACAUCUGCGAAAAAAACCCGCAAAAGUUAGAUAUCAGUGAAAAAUUGUAAAACCCACGAACAGGCAAACAUAAGUAAUAAAAUGGAAACUCACGAAAAGGCAAACAUCAGUUAACAAAAAUGAAAACCCACGAAACGGCAAAAUUUCAUUAAUUUGUUUUUAAACCGACAAAAAGACUAACAUCAGUUAUGAAAAAAACACGAACAAACAGACAUCAGUAUAAAGAAUUAAAACCAAUGAAAACACAUGCAUUAGUAAAAAAAUAGAAUUCCAUGAAAGCAAACAUCAGUAUAAAAGAUUAGAACCAAUGAAAAGGCAGCCUUCAGUAGAAAAAUGAAAACCCAC